GACGAACGCUGGCGGCGUGCCUAAUACAUGCAAGUUGAGCGCUGAAGGUUGGUACUUGUACCAACUGGAUGAGCAGCGAACGGGUGAGUAACGCGUGGGUAAUCUGCCUUUGAGCGGGGGACAACAUUUGGAAACGAAUGCUAAUACCGCAUAAAAACUUUAAACACAAGUUUUAAGUUUGAAAGAUGCAAUUGCAUCACUCAAAGAUGAUCCCGCGUUGUAUUAGCUAGUUGGUGAGGUAAAGACUCACCAAGGCGAUGAUACAUAGCCGACCUGAGAGGGUGAUCGGCCACAUUGGGACUGAGACACGGCCCAAACUCCUACGGGAGGCAGCAGUAGGGAAUCUUCGGCAAUGGACGAAAGUCUGACCGAGCAACGCCGCGUGAGUGAAGAAGGUUUUCGGAUCGUAAAACUCUGUUGGUAGAGAAGAACGUUGGUGAGAGUGGAAAGCUCAUCAAGUGACGGUAACUACCCAGAAAGGGACGGCUAACUACGUG
rnacentral:rRNA from 1 species